UGGGGAAUAUUGCACAAUGGGCGCAAGCCUGAUGCAGCCAUGCCGCGUGUGUGAAGAAGGCCUUCGGGUUGUAAAGCACUUUCAGCGAGGAGGAAGGUGGUGAGCUUAAUACGCUCAUCAAUUGACGUUACUCGCAGAAGAAGCACCGGCUAACUCCGUGCCAGCAGCCGCGGUAAUACGGAGGGUGCAAGCGUUAAUCGGAAUUACUGGGCGUAAAGCGCACGCAGGCGGUUUGUUAAGUCAGAUGUGAAAUCCCCGGGCUCAACCUGGGAACUGCAUUUGAAACUGGCAAGCUAGAGUCUCGUAGAGGGGGGUAGAAUUCCAGGUGUAGCGGUGAAAUGCGUAGAGAUCUGGAGGAAUACCGGUGGCGAAGGCGGCCCCCUGGACGAAGACUGACGCUCAGGUGCGAAAGCGUGGGGCAGCAAACAGGAUUAGAUACCCUGGUAGUCCACGCUGUAAACGAUGUCGAUUUUGGAGGUUGUGCCCCUUGAGGCGUGGCUUCCGGAGCUAACGCGUUAAAUCGACCGCC
rnacentral:rRNA from 1 species